GUUAGCUCAUUUGGUAGAGCGCUCCGCUGAAAAUGAAGAGGUCCCUGAAUCGAUAUCAGGAC
rnacentral:tRNA from 1 species